rnacentral:lncRNA from 1 species
GACUCUUUAUAUACAUCAAGGAUUGAAUAAAUAUUACCACAAAUCAUUUUAUUUUUAAUCAACAUAUAUUUAAUCUUUCAACAAUUAUUAAUCAUUUAUAACUUGUCGUCUUAAUUAUUGAUUUAAUAAUAUAACAUAUUAUACAGAUGAUACUGUGACAAUAAUUGAAUCAAUGAUAUAAGAGAUAUGAUGCAGCAAUUACUGUAGCAAUAAUUGAGUAUAGCUGAGUGACUUCUCAUGUAAGCAUCAAUAAUCAAUACCGUAUGCUACUAUGCAACCACGCGUAUUACUGUACUUUUACUACCGGGUAGUUCAACAGUUUUAACGGUAACACCUCCGCCGCUAUUUUUAUAGAAAGGUAAUUUUGUCGUUUUCUAACUACGACAAUACUUCCGUUGUGGGGUCCACCAAUGAUUGAGUCGUCGUACGAAUAUUCCCCGACCAAAUGAAUAUUUU